CAAAAAAACAAGAGAAAAUGGAUCGGUGUAAACAUUGGCUUUGCAGAGAACUGUAAUGGGUAAUGGCUGAGGAAAUCAUCUUGCAAAGUCACUGAAGAAGCCAAAAUAUGAAUUCCUUUGCCCCCGGUGCAUGUCAGCCCAAUGCCCACCUCAUGAGACCUCAUAAAACACAAGGAACGGUUCCCAAGUCCUGAAGGCAAAUCUGCACAAGAUUUAAAAUGUCGGGAUAAGGCUGCUGCCCGAGCUGGGAGAAGAAAUCAUAACUGGAACGAGGAGGUGUUCACCUAUUGGUUGGCUCUGGAGGAAGAGCUGGUAUACUCUGCCAGGGCCUUUGAGUGCUGCUAACGGGCAGGAUAAGAAAUAGGACAGUGAGCCUCAAGAAUUUUAUUCCAAGCUUUCUACCAGGCAAGGAAAAUUGGGUCUUUCAUUUUCUAGAGAUAGCAAAAGAGAGCAAGUAUCCGCUGCCAUUAUGUUUCACACUGACAGUGAGUUAACACCUCUGCAGACAAACUCGAAGCUUGGAUAUGCAGCUCUGGGAGGAGAGGUUCAGCUACCUGUAUGACAAAUAUCUGCCAGCUGGGUUUCAACACACGGAAAGUACAACUGCAGCCGUUGCUCUGCAUCAACACAUUUGGUCUUGCAAGUCUUUCAAAAACAAGAAUUUUUUAACAGGAAUUUGUCACGAAAUUUGAACGAAGUACCAUUUGGGUUAACAAAAAGAAAAGGGUCAAAGAUGCAAAUUAAAUGAGGGAAAAGAAAAGAAACCUCUUAGGUACAGCAGACAAAACACAUUCUGAACCCCUAGUUCUGCUGCAGCACUGUGUGGCUGACAUGGAGGAACAGAUAUUUUUGUUAGACAGCUCCACAGCAGCCCUGUUUGAUGACUUGAAAGCUGGGGAAAACUCACAUCACCCCAUCAAACACUUCUUCAUCCAUCAAGAAGACCAAGAGAUCUGACUUGGUAGUGAUUUCAGUAGUGUACUAAAGAGCCUGUGUUGUUUUAAGUACAAGUGAUCCCGCUGAUUAGAUAGAAAGCACUAGAAAGAAAAGAAAAAAAAAAAGAUCACAGGUGUUCACAAGUGUGAAUUUAGUGAAAAUUACCCAGAGGUUGAAUUUAAUUGGAAAUCUUAACGUUGUAUGUUCAGGUCUAAUAGUGCCUUGCCAUGCUAAGAAUCCAAAUGCAACGGUACAGAGUGAAAAAGAAAGAAAGCCUUAAAAUCAACAUAGUUAGGAGACGCAUCACCAAAACCUCACAUAGAGAUAUCUGGCAUGGAAGUGCUAAAAGAAGUACUUUGCCAAACACUUGUUGGAAAGGACAAAUGUUGUUUUCACUCAAGUCUAUGAAAUGAAGGGGGAAAAGGAAAACAAAACAAAACAAAACAACAAAAACAGCCCAGGAGCUAUUAUUUGUAGCUGUGCUUUCUCUGCAGACUUUGCCUGUCCAAAGGUACCACGCUGGUUAUCACUUUGAAUUGGAGAAAUCCAGAUUUUCUUCCACUCCGCAGCAAUGCCGGAGCGCACACAGUGAUUUCUGUCUGCGUCAGAAAGACUUCAGAUGGAAAGCUAACGUAAAGAGCUUCAGAACACAGACAUCACAAAUAGAUAAUUAAUCUAUGCAGAAAAAAAGAACCCACAACAGGAGCCCAUUGUAAGAUUUCAGAGCUGCUGAGAGCAUACUUGCAAGAAAUUAUCGCUCCUACAGUGGUUACCGUUUUUCUGUAUUCUUUAAACAUUCUGACUUAAAAUCUCAAAAUGCGUUCCUAUGUCAGUGACAAUCUUAAUAGAGCCCAAUUAGUUCCACAAGGCACUCUGUGAUGCACAAGCCCCUGCCUUGAUUGCGGUGAAUGGUGGGUAUUUCCUGUGUUUAAGUCCACAUAUGGAUCGAGUAAGGCGGUGGCAGAGAGACUACUGUUUUCCUUCACUACAUCUUCAUUUCUUUUUCACAGGCUAAGCCUUUUUUGUUUUUCCUGGCUCUGUUGUCAAAACACUGACCAGAGUUUUGGCUCAUGGUAUUGGAACGGGAGGCCAAAACAAUCCUCUGGAAACCAGUGUGGCAAAAUGUAUUUUAGAUCUCUACAUUCACCGUUCAGCCAUGCG
rnacentral:lncRNA from 1 species